ensembl:lncRNA forkhead box protein C1-like
AGUCUCUCCUCCCGGCACGCGGAAGUGGGUCCGGAACGGAGCGGGUCUCCGUCCCCCGUCACGGACGAGCUCCGGUCGCGCAAUGUCGAAAUUAAAACGAAAGAAGUCGACGGUGGACGAGCAGCCGCCCGGACGUUUCCCCGCAGACAGAAAACUAAGUUCGGCCGCGCCCCCGGAGCCCCAAAGUUACCAGAGCGAGGACGUCCCUUCUCCAGAACCCCUUAAAGGGCCAUGGUGGGACCAGCCAGACCUCCCCCAAGCUGAGAAGUUGUGGGCCCUGACGCUGAAAGCUUUUAUUCCCAGUCUGAAGCAGGAAGAGUGGGAGGCAGUGCCUGACCUUCCGGAAGCCUCUUUGUUGAAAUCUGACGAUGGGAAACGAGAGGAAUGGAGGUGGUGUUGCCCUGGUGAUGAAGUGAGCGCUUUGCCAGAGUCACCAGCAGAAUUUCAGCGUGAGACACGCAAAGCCUCUCAGCCGGGUCAGCAGGUGCCACCUCCUCAUGCCAGUCCGAUGUCCGGGGAGGCUGGAUCUUCUAACAGUCACCCCAAGCCGGCUGUGCCCAGUCAGGUUAGGGGUGGUGCCAGCAGCGACCCCGGUGCCACUCUAGCUUCAGACAGCUCGGGGGUUCAUGCCAGAGUGCCUGUGCCAGCAUCUGAGAGCUGGCAUCAGAAAGAAGAGAAUAGAACUGGACAGAGAAUGAAAAUCCCAUCGUCCUCACACAGAAGGAAGGACGCGGUCCAUCCCAAUGCAGAGCCAGACAGACCCGGAACAUCGGCAGGGGCUCGGCGGAAAAGAGAGACGGAGCAAGAGUGUCAGACGAAAAUCACCGCAGCGAUGGGGGUCGUCUCAUUAGAGAGGACGGGAAGCGUCAGGAGCGCGGGAGUAGCACAGAGAGACGGGAUCAAACGUCGGGCCUCCCCGGCUCUGCAGCGGGGUGGGGGCGGCGUCUCUGACAGCUCCGCCGCGGGACCCCCCGCGCCUCCUCUCAUCUCAGCCUCAGCGCCAAAGCGAGGGGGGGAUGGAGGCGAGGGAGCGGGGAGCCAGUCUGCCAGAGGAGGAGGAGCGCCAGGUCGGAUUGGAGGGUUGGACUGCUGCCCGAUGUGCCUGAUGCCAUUCCCAGCAGGGUUCUCUCAGAUGGACUGUGACGGCCACCUUGCUCAGUGCUUGUCGGACAUGAACACAGACAUGGUGUGGUGAUGUUCUGCUGGCAUUUUUAUGGAUAUGUAGACAUGAAUUGAGAUGAGAACUGGUGUCCACUUGUGAAUGUUUCCACAUUUAACAUCACCCAGAUGCCUAACCUGCAUGUCUGCAAGACACCCUGCCACCCAUGAACAUUUUCAUUCCAGCUAUGCUGAUCAACGUAGCAUGUGCAUUCAGAGAUGAUCAGAAAGUAAAAAUCCCAAAAUACAUUUCAUCAGAUUGAUCUUCCAUCCUAGGUGACAGCUGGUUAACAGUUAGGUCUAAGCUGCAUUACACAGCUUAGACCUUUCCACAGUCCUCCACUUCUGAUUCAACUGAAGGACGGUGUGAUAAUGAGUAGACAUGUUAAACAAGGGUAAACUCUCUUUUAACACCACUCUGUCACAGGAUAUGGUCUGUGAUGGAUCUGGCCCUAAAAAUGGUCCGUUCCCAGUUACCCACCCCUCAACUGGCUGCUUGAAACAAGUUGGAUUCAUUGGAUUUGGUUGAAUCAAAAUCCUGUUGUCACUAAAUUCUGAACAAACUGUACGGUCUGCCAUUAGAGACAUUCAUUUUCCCUCAAGGAUUCUUGCUCGUUCGGCAAAGCAAUGGCCCACACAGAAAUCUAUACCGUUUUAUUGUAUAAAAACUUUGUCAGUUCCAUCGUCCAAGUCCUAAACCUGGCUUUGUUCUCAAAUAUUUUUAUGCUAAACAUUCUCAUUCAUUCCCCCGAGUGCAGAGUGUUAAUCAGCAGCCUCCACCCCCCCCCAUGAAUGAGCAGCACACACCGCACACACAGUAUUUACAAUGAACAGAUUUACUGGUUUACAGUUAUCUACAACGCUUUUAAGACAAUUCCACGUUACAUCCGCCUGUCUCCGCCACACGCGCAGGUCUGCCUUUCAUUUAGAACGGUUUAUAAAAACGAACAAUCCAUGUAUAAAAUUUGUCCCCCUGUACCACAUGGAUAGAUCAUUAUUCACUUUGGACUCCAAACAAAAAUGAAAAAGUAGCGGGAGCAGAAAAAAAAUUAGCUUUUUUUUUUUUUUUAAUAAUGUGUUUUGCUUCAGAAAAAUCUAUAGUCUUCAGAGUUCUGGGGAGAGUCUGAUUCAUUGUGCGCGGCUUUUAACCGGCAAUGUAGGGAAAACGGGGAUCGUUUCUGAAGGCUCAAACCAUGACAGUUAAAAUUACGCAUUUACUUAUGCUGAAAUUCGCCAUUAAGGUGACAAAACACAGACGUUGCUAGAGCCUCACAUACAAGCCUACAGCAGACGGGACAGCACCCUUCGUUUGGGAACAAUCAUUGUCUUAUUGUCCUCCAAACAGUCAUGCAGUGGCGUCAUGGAGGUAACACUUCCGAUGAAUACCCCCAGUCAUAACGUAAGAGCGUAUAUUAGAGUGCUGUAAUGCAGGUAAACAACCUCCAGAAUGUUGUCUUUCUAAAGCCUUUAUACAUACCCAUGCACAGUAUUAUUACUUCACAUGUAGCCUGUACAGUGUUGUAUCAACUUAGGGUUUUUCCACAGGGUUUUAAUCGACUAGUUCUAAUUAUAUCCCAUAUAUACCAAUAAUUGUAUAAUCACAUUUACCUUCAUUGUGGUAUUAUACAGGUAGUUUAUAAAUCUGUAUUACAGUGGUAUUAACCUUCGACAAGUCACUCUGUAGUACAUUAUAAAGUAUUUAUAAAUGUGCUUAUAAGGCAUGAAAGGGGUAUUCAUUUUGAAGUGUUGAGGAUAAAAAUUGUCCAUACGCUGUAGUGUAGGGAAAUGUCAUGAGCUGAAUUCUGCUCAGGCUCCCUGCUCCCUAUCUCCUCCUAUGGAUUCUUUGUUAUUUCGAAAACCCAGCAGCUAAAUCACCACUUUCUAAUGGGGGUAAGGGUCUAAUUAAUCCUAUUACACCAUUAUCUCCGAAACACAGGUCAGAUUUCAUCUCUCAACUCACAUCCGAGGGACCUUUUGCUCCAGCCCCUAAAAACUUAGUUUCAAAGGAGUCUCUGUGUGAAGUGAUCUAAUGUUGCAUUUAGGAGGGAGGGUGGUUGUCUUAUCUCUUGUGCAAAUUAAUGAUUAAUUUAUCGACCACGUGUACCAUCUUGAUUUUAUUACCAUUUGAAGUUAAAAUUUUGAUUUUGAGGGGUGGUAUCCCUUGUGCAUAAUAAAAGUAUAUACUCUGUAUAGUGCUCUUCUUUC